GGCCGCGGAAUUCGCCCUUUGCCAGCAGCCGCGGUAAUACGUAGGGUGCGAGCGUUAAUCGGAAUUACUGGGCGUAAAGCGGGCGCAGACGGUUACUUAAGCAGGAUGUGAAAUCCCCGGGCUCAACCUGGGAACUGCGUUCUGAACUGGGUGACUAGAGUGUGUCAGAGGGAGGUAGAAUUCCACGGUGUAGCAGUGAAAUGCGUAGAGAUGUGGAGGAAUACCGAUGGCGAAGGCAGCCUCCUGGGAUAACACUGACGUUCAUGCCCGAAAGCGUGGGUAGCAAACAGGAUUAGAUACCCUGGUAGUCC
rnacentral:rRNA from 1 species